AAGAUAAGCUAAUAACUUUGGACACAAUCUCACUCCUCUGCAUUCACCAAAUGUCCAAUUACAUAUCCUCCCUGCCUGGACCUUCAAAACAAUAUAAAACUGAAUGAAGGCAAUAAAAGAAGUCACAGGAGGAUUUUUGCAGAGCUUCCAUCCAGUUCAGAAACAAAGCAAUUCAAUACAUGUCUUCAAGAUUUCUAAAGGCAAUGACUUAAUUCUAAGUUCCAUGAAAGCAGGCAUUGUGUGAAUUUCUCCUGCAUCUGGAACUGGCCUACCACACCAAAUGUAGUCUUACUCUGUCUCCCACACUGGAGUGCCUCUUUGAAUGCUGUUUUAGCCAUGGUUCUGGAGAGGAGCUGCCUAGGUGGGAUCCAGAGGAAAGUACGAAUGAGCAGAAGGUGUUGAAAAGCUAAUUCACAGCUCCCCAGCUGCCUACUUGUGGGGACAGCUUUCUUCGGCUACAGGCAGUAAUUGCUUUACUGCUAUCCUAAAUUGCCCUGGAGAAGAAAGCAAAGCUUUGCUUGCUUUAUCCUGUGGAUUUAAAGCAGUGCCUAUACUUGCUCUGCAUAGAAG
rnacentral:lncRNA from 1 species